rnacentral:ncRNA from 2 species
CGUUCCGAGGAGCGUUGCGACGAAAACACAAUUUUCGCCAGGCUCGGGACUUCUACCGCAACUGCGCUCACGUUAC